rnacentral:RNase_P_RNA from 1 species
GCUUCAGGCGACUCUAUCGCGGCUUCGGCUUUGGUCGGAGAUGAGGAAAGUCCGGACAACGUAGAGCACCACACCAUCUAACGGAUGGGGCUUUGUCCCGAUUUAUCGGGUGUGAAGUACAGAUAGUGUCACAGAAAAUAACCGCCACGAUUCCGAUUUAUCGGGAUCAGGUAAGGGUGAAAACGUGUGGUAAGAGCACACGACGUUCCCGGGUAACCGGGAGGGUGGAUAAACCUUGUGGGUUGAAAUGCCACAUACAUUCCGGCUCUUUCUCCCGUUUUUUCGGGUAGAAAGACUUUGGUUGCUCGCCGAAGGCAUUGCACCGGAAGGGGUAGGCAGCUUGAGCCUGGCUUUUUCUUCGGAAGAGGACAGGACUAGAUAAAUGAUAGAGCCCCCUAUUUCCUUUGGGAGACCGGGGAGACAGAAUCCGGCUUAUACGCCUGAAGCGGAU